rnacentral:rRNA from 1 species
GACGAACGCUGGCGGCGUGCUUGACACAUGCAAGUCGAACGGUGACCUCGAGAGCUUGCUCUCGGGUGAUCAGUGGCGAACGGGUGAGUAACACGUGAGUAACCUGCCCCAGACUCUGGAAUAACCCCGGGAAACCGGAGCUAAUACCGGAUACGAGACGGAGUCGCAUGACUACCGUCUGGAAAGUUUUUCGGUCUGGGAUGGACUCGCGGCCUAUCAGCUUGUUGGUGAGGUAACGGCUCACCAAGGCGACGACGGGUAGCCGGCCUGAGAGGGCGACCGGCCACACUGGGACUGAGACACGGCCCAGACUCCUACGGGAGGCAGCAGUGGGGAAUAUUGCACAAUGGGCGAAAGCCUGAUGCAGCGACGCCGCGUGAGGGAUGACGGCCUUCGGGUUGUAAACCUCUUUCAGCAGGGAAGAAGCGAAAGUGACGGUACCUGCAGAAGAAGCACCGGCUAACUACGUGCCAGCAGCCGCGGUAA